GCCGUGUGAACUGCAGGACACAUGAACAUCGACACUUUGAAUGCAUAUUGCGGAAUUGAGCUUGUCUCAAUUCCAUACCUGGCUCAGGGUCGGUUAAACAUCUAUCAGACGGUCUCCCGUUUGCAUUGAGCCCCUCGCUAUGACUUGUCAUAGCGGAGCUCUAAGAUUUGUCUUGCAGAUUGCAUCGACUCGACUCUUGGGAGAGAUCCUGGGUUGUUGUUGGUGGCUGCAGUGACAUGGCUGCCAAGACUCGACUGAUUGUCUUGAAAGCGCCAACCGAUUUCAUUUUCGACCUGAGAUUAGGUAAGACUACGCGCCGAAUUUAAGCAUAUUAAUAAGCGCAGGAAAAGAAAACAACUGUGAUUCCCUUAGUAAUGGCGAAUGAAACGGGAUUAGCCCAUCGCGGAACUGCAGGUCAUCUUGGCCUCGCGGAAUGUCGCGUUCGGGAGAGUCUUAUCGAGUUCUUUCCAGCCAGUCAAAGUCCAACUUGACUGUGGCCA
rnacentral:rRNA from 1 species